AGUGAAUGCUGGCGGUAGGCCUAACACAUGCAAGUCGAACGGCAGCACAGUAAGAGCUUGCUCUUACGGGUGGCGAGUGGCGGACGGGUGAGGAAUACAUCGGAAUCUACUUUUUCGUGGGGGAUAACGUAGGGAAACUUACGCUAAUACCGCAUACGACCUACGGGUGAAAGCAGGGGAUCUUCGGACCUUGCGCGAUUGAAUGAGCCGAUGUCGGAUUAGCUAGUUGGCGGGGUAAAGGCCCACCAAGGCGACGAUCCGUAGCUGGUCUGAGAGGAUGAUCAGCCACACUGGAACUGAGACACGGUCCAGACUCCUACGGGAGGCAGCAGUGGGGAAUAUUGGACAAUGGGCGCAAGCCUGGUCCAGCCAUACCGCGUGGGUGAAGAAGGCCUUCGGGUUGUAAAGCCCUUUUGUUGGGAAAGAAAAGCAGCAGGUUAAUACCCCGCUGUUCUGACGGUACCCAAAGAAUAAGCACCGGCUAACUUCGUG
rnacentral:rRNA from 1 species